GUGGCGAAUUGUGAUCACCAAGGCGAAACAAAAUUUCUGAAGCUAUCUCACCUACAUCUUCUCGUGAAAAUCCUAUUUUUUCCAAGUUUUUUAGUAAUAUGGGAAAUUCUGCUCCUCACUCUGCACCUGGAAGACUUUCAGUAUUUUCACCUCCUAUGCAUGGAAAAAUGGGUGUCAUUCCCAGCCCUGAAACUCCCUCUCCUUCCUCAGCAAUAAGAAAAUUAAAAUCUUCUUUGCUAUAGGAU